UACGGGGGGGGUAAGCGUUGUUCGGAAUUACUGGGCGUAAAGGGCUCGUAGGCGGCCAACUAAGUCAUACGUGAAAUCCCUCAGCUUAACUGGGGAACUGCGUGUGAUACUGGAUGGCUUGGAUGUGGGAGAGGGAUGCGGAAUUCCAGGUGUAGCGGUGAAAUGCGCAGAUAUCGGGAGGAACACCAAUGGCGAAGGCAGCUCGCUGGGACGUUACUGACGCUGAGACGCGAAAGCGUGGGGAGCAAACAGG
rnacentral:rRNA from 1 species